rnacentral:lncRNA from 10 species
UUUGGAGCAGGAGGGACAUGGUUGUGUUAACCUUUGAGAACCACCUGAGAAGCUGAGUGGAGGACGGACUUCAGGGCUGUUGAGGACAAGGCGGGAGGCAGCAAGGAGAUGGCGUGAACGGUGACCCAGGUCUCCCAGAGCUAGAGGUUUUCCCGGCAGCUCCAAGCGAGGCUUCCUGAGAGUUCGAGGCGGUGCAGAGAGACCACCCUGGGGAACCGGCCAUCUCCAGAAACCGGGGAACCAUCCGUGGUGUGGGCCCAGCAAGGCCCCCUUCCCAGCGUGGCUGACUUCGCCUCUGAAUUAAUCUGGAUUUUUAAGUGCAAUUAAAGAGGAUGCCCCAGUCAUGAAGAGAGGCGGAGACAGACCACAGGCCCGUGGGGCAACCGGAAAACCCCUCCUCACUAAGAAUGAACUCCAAGGGGCUUCCCCGUCCCCCGCUGAGGUGGACUUCCGGCCUGGCAUCAGGAGCAGCCCACCUGCCUUCCCGGCCCUGGCCCGCCAGGCUGUGUCCCCCUGAGCCGACUGGGCCAUUCGCACCUCCAGGCGCUGGUUCCUGCCAUGCCUCUGCAAGACGUACCAUCUCCAAAACCGCUGUUCACAGCGGAUCAGCCCGGCGCAGCCUGCCCAUCCACCGUGCCCCUAUCCAGAAGCAAGACACAGCCUGGGCUGGGCCGUGAGGGUCCGUGACCUCCCACACCACACCGUGGCCCUCACUGCACUCUCAGUGCUGGGCUCCUACAGGUGAGCCUCCCCCAGGAUGAGUGUGGUGUCCCAGAGCCAUCUGAGCCCCCUCUUGUGGGUCAGGCCUGCCUUCUCAGGGUUCAGCUCAGUCCUGCUGAUGACAGCUGUGACUCAGGCCCGACAGCCCUUCAGGAACUCUCAUUAUCUUCCCCAGUUUACAGCUGGGGAAACUGAGGCUCGGAGUGAGCCAGCCCCUCCCCGUCCUGUCUCCCUUCCCUGCUGGGUCCACCCACUCAGGGCUUUCUAAGAGGGUGGAUUUUAAUUAAGCCAGUUUGUAAUUACCCACCUGCAUUUUACUUAAUAAACUCGGGGGAGUUUUCA